UACAGAGGUCCCAAGCGUUGUUCGGAUUCACUGGGCGUAAAGGGUGCGUAGGCGGUCGGGUAAGUCUGAUGUGAAAUCUCACAGCUUAACUGUGAAACUGCAUUGGAUACUAUCCGGCUCUGAGGAAUGGAGGGGAGACUGGAAUACUUGGUGUAGCAGUGAAAUGCGUAGAUAUCAAGUGGAACACCAGUGGCGAAGGCGAGUCUCUGGACAUUUCCUGACGCUGAGGCACGAAAGCCAGGGGAGCAAACGGG
rnacentral:rRNA from 1 species